rnacentral:rRNA from 1 species
ACGAAAGUCUGACGCCGCGACAUCGCGUGGAGGAUGAAGGUCUUCGGAUUGUAAACUCCUUUUCUUACCGAACAAGUUCUGAGUGUAGGUAAGGAAUAAGUGCCUGCUAACCACGUGCCAGAAGCAUCGGUAAUACGUGGGGCACGAGCGUUAUCCGGAUUUACUGGGCGUAAAGAGAAGCGUAGGCGGCUCGAUAAGUCUGGUGUUAAAUCUUCCGGCUCAACCGGAAACAAGCACCGAAAACUAUCGAGAUUGAGUCGAGUAGGGAAGAGGGGAAUUCCUGGUGGAGCGGUUAAAUGCGUAGAUAUCAGGAGGAAUACCAAGGGCGAAGGCACCUCUUUGGACUCGUACUGACGCUGAGGCUCGAAAGCGUGGGUAGCAAAACGGAUUAGAUACCCGUGUAGUCCACGCCGUAAACGAUCCCUGUUAGAUGUAUGUUUUGUCUGUUUAUUUUUCCUUCGGGAAGGGUAAAGGGCAAGAUGUGUGUCGUAGUUAACGCGUUAAACAGGGCGCCUGGGAAGUACGGCCGCAAGGCUAAAACCCAAAGGAAUUGACGGGGACCCGCACAAGCAGUGGAGCGCCUGGUUUAAUUCGAUGGUCAGCGAAGAACCUCACCUAGGCUUGAACUGUAGCUGCACGCUCCCAGAAACGGGAGAAUCCUUCGAGGGUGCUACAGAGGUGCUGCAUGGCUGUCGUCAGCUCGUGUCGUGAGAUGUAGGGUUAAGUCCCACAACGAGCGCAACCCCUAUUCAGUGUUAUAAUUACUCUGAAGACUGCCCUGUCCAAACGGGGAGGAAGGAGGGGACGACGUCCAGUCAUCAUGUCCCUUAUGUCUAGGGCUACACAGACGCUACAAUGGCCGGUACAAUGGGUUGCCAAACCGCGAGGUGGAGCCAAUCCCAUCAAAGCCGGUCCCAGUUCGGAUUGCAGUCUGCAACUCGACUGCAUGAAGUUGGAAUUG